GGGCAUAUAUCUCAGUGGUAGAGUGCAUGCCUAGCAUGUACAAGGUCCUGGGUUCAAUCCCUAGUACCUCCA
rnacentral:tRNA from 1 species